rnacentral:rRNA from 1 species
GAUUAACGCUGGCGGCGUGCAUAACACAUGCAAGUCGAACGAUGAAACUUAACUGAUUUCUUCGGAAUGAUUUUAAGUGGCUUAGUGGCGGACGGGUGAGUAACGCGUGAGUAACCUGCCUUGGAGAAGGGGAUAGCCUUUGGAAACGAAGAAUAAUACCCUAUGAUAUGAUAAUAUCUCAUGAUAUUAUCAUCAAAGAUUUAUCGCUCUAAGAUGGACUUGCGUCUGAUUAGUUAGUUGGUGAGGUAACAGCUCACCAAGGCAGCGAUCAGUAGCCGGCUUGAGAGAGUGUACGGCCACAUUGGGACUGAGACACGGCCCAGACUCCUACGGGAGGCAGCAGUGGGGAAUUUUGCACAAUGGGGGAAACCCUGAGGCAGCGACGCCGCGUGAUUUAGAAGGCCUUCGGGUUGUAAAAAUCUUUUGUAUGGGAAGAAAAUGACAGUACCAUACGAAUAAGGACCGGCUAAUUACGUG